rnacentral:rRNA from 1 species
AGAAGACCCCAUGGAGCUUCAAACCCAACUACACCCCUAGCUCUUAUAGCCCCACAACCCCCCUAGGCGCCGUGUGCUUGGUUUUAGGUUGGGGCGACCGCGGAGUACAAUAAAACCUCCACAAUGAAUGGGAACACCCCCUUAUCUGAGGGCCACACCCCCUAAGAAUUAGAACACUAACAUAAAAUGAUCCAUUACUUGAUCAAUGAACCAAGUUACCCUGGGGAUAACAGCGCAAUCCAUUUCAAGAGCCCCUAUCGACAAAUGGGUUUACGACCUCGAUGUUGGAUCAGGGUACCCCAGUGGUGCAGCAGCUACUAACGGUUCGUUUGUUCAACGAUUAAAACCCU